GGCGGCAGGCCUAACACAUGCAAGUCGAACGCCCCUUCGGGGGAGUGGCAGACGGGUGAGUAACACGUGGGAACCUACCCAGGAGUACGGAAUAACUCAGGGAAACUUGAGCUAAUACCGUAUACGUCCUUCGGGAGAAAGUUUUAACGCUCUUGGAUGGGCCCGCGUCGCAUUAGCUAGUUGGUGGGGUAAUGGCCUACCAAGGCUUCGAUGCGUAGCUGGUCUGAGAGGAUGAUCAGCCACACUGGGACUGAGACACGGCCCAGACUCCUACGGGAGGCAGCAGUGGGGAAUCUUGGACAAUGGGCGCAAGCCUGAUCCAGCCAUGCCGCGUGAGUGAUGAAGGCCCUAGGGUUGUAAAGCUCUUUCACCGGUGAAGAUAAUGACGGUAGCCGGAGAAGAAGCCCCGGCUAACUCCGUGCCAGCAGCCGCGGUAAUACGGAGGGGGCUAGCGUUGUUCGGAAUUACUGGGCGUAAAGCGCACGUAGGCGGGUAUCCAAGUUGGGGGUGAAAUCCCGGGGCUCAACCCCGGAACUGCCUCCAAAACUGGGUACCUAGAGUCCGAGAGAGGUGAGUGGAAUUCCCAGUGUAGAGGUGAAAUUCGUAGAUAUUGGGAAGAACACCAGUGGCGAAGGCGGCUCACUGGCUCGGUACUGACGCUGAGGUGC
rnacentral:rRNA from 1 species